rnacentral:rRNA from 1 species
GAUGAACGCUGGCGGCGUGCCUAAUACAUGCAAGUCGUGCGAACAGAUGAGGAGCUUGCUCCUCUGACGUUAGCGGCGGACGGGUGAGUAACACGUGGAUAACCUACCUAUAAGACUGGGAUAACUUCGGGAAACCGGAGCUAAUACCGGAUAAUAUAUUGAACCGCAUGGUUCAAUAGUGAAAGACGGUUUUGCUGUCACUUAUAGAUGGAUCCGCGCCGCAUUAGCUAGUUGGUAAGGUAACGGCUUACCAAGGCAACGAUGCGUAGCCGACCUGAGAGGGUGAACGGCCACACUGGAACUGAGACACGGUCCAGACUCCUACGGGAGGCAGCAGUAGGGAAUCUUCCGCAAUGGGCGAAAGCCUGACGGAGCAACGCCGCGUGAGUGAUGAAGGUCUUCGGAUCGUAAAACUCUGUUAUUAGGGAAGAACAAAUGUGUAAGUAACUAUGCACGUCUUGACGGUACCUAAUCAGAAAGCCACGGCUAACUACGUG